UACGAAGGGGGCUAGCGUUGCUCGGAAUCACUGGGCGUAAAGGGUGCGUAGGCGGGUCGUUAAGUCAGGGGUGAAAUCCUGGAGCUCAACUCCAGAACUGCCUUUGAUACUGAGGAUCUUGAGUUCGGGAGAGGUGAGUGGAACUGCGAGUGUAGAGGUGAAAUUCGUAGAUAUUCGCAAGAACACCAGUGGCGAAGGCGGCUCGCUGGCCCGAUACUGACGCUGAGGCACGAAAGCGUGGGGAGCAAACAGG
rnacentral:rRNA from 1 species